rnacentral:rRNA from 1 species
AAUAGAUACCCGGGUAGUCCACGCCGUAAACGAUGAGUGCUAAGUGUUAGAGGGUUUCCGCCCUUUAGUGCUGAAGUUAACGCAUUAAGCACUCCGCCUGGGGAGUACGGCCGCAAGGCUGAAACUCAAAGGAAUUGACGGGGGCCCGCACAGGCGGUGGAGCAUGUGGUUUAAUUCGAAGCAACGCGAAGAACCUUACCAGGUCUUGACAUCCUCUGAAAACCCUAGAGAUAGGGCUUCUCCUUCGGGAGCAGAGUGACAGGUGGUGCAUGGUUGUCGUCAGCUCGUGUCGUGAGAUGUUGGGUUAAGUCCCGCAACGAGCGCAACCCUUGAUCUUAGUUGCCAUCAUUAAGUUGGGCACUCUAAGGUGACUGCCGGUGACAAACCGGAGGAAGGUGGGGAUGACGUCAAAUCAUCAUGCCCCUUAUGACCUGGGCUACACACGUGCUACAAUGGACGGUACAAAGAGCUGCAAGACCGCGAGGUGGAGCUAAUCUCAUAAAACCGUUCUCAGUUCGGAUUGUAGGCUGCAACUCCG